rnacentral:rRNA from 1 species
CCUACGGGGGGCAGCAGUGGGGAAUAUUGGACAAUGGGGGGAACCCUGAUCCAGCCAUGCCGCGUGUGUGAAGAAGGCCCUCGGGUUGUAAAGCACUUUCAGUGAGGAAGAACGCCUGGUGGUUAAUACCCAUCAGGAAAGACAUCACUCACAGAAGAAGCACCGGCUAACUCCGUGCCAGCAGCCGCGGUAAUACGGAGGGUGCGAGCGUUAAUCGGAAUUACUGGGCGUAAAGCGCGCGUAGGUGGCUUGAUAAGCCGGUUGUGAAAGCCCCGGGCUCAACCUGGGAACGGCAUCCGGACCUGUCAAGCUAGAGUGCAGGAGAGGAAGGUAGAAUUCCCGGUGUAGCGGUGAAAUGCGUAGAGAUCGGGAGGAAUACCAGUGGCGAAGGCGGCCUUCUGGACUGACACUGACACUGAGGUGCGAAAGCGUGGGUAGCAAACAGGAUUAGAUACCCUUGUAGUC